rnacentral:rRNA from 1 species
AGUGAACGCUGGCGGUAGGCCUAACACAUGCAAGUCGAACGGCAGCACAGUAAGAGCUUGCUCUUACGGGUGGCGAGUGGCGGACGGGUGAGGAAUACAUCGGAAUCUACUUUUUCGUGGGGGAUAACGUAGGGAAACUUACGCUAAUACCGCAUACGACCAACGGGGGAAAGGAGGGGAUCUUCGGAACUUGCGGGAUAGAAGGAGCCGAUGUCGGAUUAGCUAGUUGGCGGGGUAAAGGCCCAGCAAGGCGACGAUCCGUCGCUGGUCAGAGAGGAUGAUCAGCCACACUGGAUCUGAGACACGGUCCAGACUCCUGCGGGAGGCAGCAGUGCGGAAUCUUGGACACUGGGCGCAAGCCUGAUCCAGCCAUACCGCGUCGGUGAAGAAGGCCUUCGGGUUGUAAAGCCCUUUUGUUCGGACAGAAAAGCAGCAGGUUAAUCCCCCGCUGUUCUGACGUUACCCAGAGAAUAAGCACCGGCUAACUUCGUG